UUCCAGUAGGGGGCCUAUUGACCCUGACCUGCUCUGUGAACCCAUCAUCAUCAUCUGGAUGGAAAUACUACUGGUACAGAGAUGAGAAAUCCUCUGAAGCCCUGACCACACAAGAUGCAGUUUUCCACUCAAAUGGACAAAUCAGUGUCUCACAGGAAGGACUCUACAGGUGCAGAGGAGGAAGAGGAAACCCAGUUUACUACACAGAGGACAGCCAGUCAGUCAGGAUUGGGAAAACUGUAACAGCCUCAAACAGGCCUGUUGUGACUCUGUAUCCAAACUGGUCUGAGAUAUACAGAGGAGAGACGAUCACUGUCAGAUGUGAGAUCCAUGGAGGAGACACUGAGUGGGAUUAUGAGUGGGAAACAAACAGCAGGAUAAAAGCUCCAAAUCAAAAUGAAUACAGGAUUAGAUCUGCUUCAUCAUCCAACAGUGGAAACUAUCGCUGUAAGGGCAGAAUGAAAAGUUCACAGCAUAAAACAACAGAGUGGAGUGAUUCAGUCACACUGACAGUUUCUGACAAUAAACCCCGUCCUGUCCUCACUGUGUCUCCAUCAUGGCUGAGUCCUGGAGCCUCAGUAACUCUGAACUGUGAGGUUGAACAUCCGUCUGCAGGAUGGAGCUGAUGAAGGUUUCUACAAGUGUCAGUACUCAGGAAGAGAGUCAGCACAGAGCUGGAUGUCAGUUAAAGUAACUGUGUCAGGAGCUGACAGCUCUUCAUCUCCUGUGUGGUUGAUUGUUGGACUGGUUUGUGGAGUCUCUCUCAUUAUUAUUCUCCUGCUCUUGUUGUAUCGCUGCAGACAGUCCAAGUAUUCCUGCUUCACCAGGUGGAUCCAGUCUGAGAGUCACAGUCCGGGCUCCUCCACAAAUCAUGGAGUCAACCAGAAUGAAACUCAUGAAUACAACUCUCUUCAUCCUGGUCAGCACUUAAACCGAUCUUUAUUAUCACUAGAAAAAUUUGAAUUUCCUGCGAAAAUGCUGUGU